AGGUGAUGAGUGGAGUGAGUUGAUAUGCAAUGAAAAUAAAAUCAAACACAAAUGAUAGGUAAGUAAGUAUAAAGCAUAAAGAAUAAGUAAAGAGAUGCAAGCACAAUAAACACAAAAAAUUUAUAGUAGUUCGGUGCCAACCUUGCACUUACAUCCACUCCUCAAGUUUCUACUUGAGAAUUCAAUCUAUUAAAAGGAUUUCAAAGAUACAACACGUCGGACAAACCCAAC
rnacentral:lncRNA from 1 species